GACGUAGGGCGCGAGCGUUGUCCGGAUUUAUUGGGCGUAAAGGGCGCGUAGGCGGCGCAACAAGUCACUUGUGAAAUCUCCGGGCUUAACCCGGAGCGGUCAAGUGAUACUGUCGUGCUAGAGUGCGGAAGGGGCUACUGGAAUUCUCGGUGUAGCGGUGAAAUGCGUAGAUAUCGAGAGGAACACCUGCGGCGAAGGCGGGUAGCUGGGCCGACACUGACGCUGGAUGCGCGAAAGCGUGGGGAGCAAACGGG
rnacentral:rRNA from 1 species